rnacentral:lncRNA from 1 species
GAACACAAACAGCCUACACGGGGAGCUGAGCUGAGGUGCUGGAGAGAAGGACCAGGCAGGACUGCAGGGUGUAAGGAGCCCGCGUGGCUCAGCCUCACCCUUUGCUCCUGCCUGUGUUAAGCACCGGUUCUCAUUUUUAGGUGAAAUGAACAGGUCAGGCUGUAUUUCAAUGAGAAAGACCUUGGAUGAGAUCCAGUCGUGAGACCUGGGUGGAAAAUGAGAACCAGUCCCUCAGACUAACAUGCAGCCAGCAGCGAAGCUCCAGUCACCAGUGGAAACUCUCAGACAAUGACAUGAACCCCCAUCAAUGGCCGCCUACAAGUUCAAACGGGUACCAUUCAGGCUAACCUGCAUCUACCCAAAGAUGUCAGUCCUCUUGGAACUUCAACUCUUAAACGCUGGCACACUGUAAGAGUGAGUCCUGGAGAAUCCCAGCUUCAAGGCAACCUCAGGCAAAGGAAAGCAUCACACAGGAGUUCAGCAUGCUGUAAGAGAUACUGUGGCACUAUUGCAGAAGCUGUGCAUAUAACAUGCUUCGAACGCAGGAGGAUGCUGGGUAAUUGGGAGGUACGAUGAAACAUUAAAUAUUAAACAUGGUGCUUUCAACAUCAGGCAUAAAGAAUUCUCUUUCUAAAAAUAAAAAGACAGAUCUAAGACUGCUCACAGGGCAGAGGGGUACUGAGCCUGUAAAGACUCUUGCUGCCAAGCCCGACGACCUGAGUUUGAGCCCCAGGACCUGAAGAGUGGGAGGAGAGAACCAACUCUCCCACAGGUUGACCUCUGACCUCCACAUGUUGCUGUGACACACAAGCCCCCUGCUCCCCACAUGCAUGCACACACACUCACACAAAUGAAUAGAUGGAUAAAUCAAGAUAUAAUAAAAAAACUUAAAUUCUUCACAUAAGGCACAAUCUAAACUUCUUUUUGAAAGAUCUAAAAUAUUUAUAUAAUAGAAUUUAUAUAUUAUAUGAUUGUAGUAUAUAUAAAAAUAUGUAAAUGUAUGUAUGCAAUAUGGAUAUAAUGCACAUACAUGUCAACAUCGUAUAUGUAAAUACAUACAUAUACAUGUUAUAUAUGUAUAUAAUGUAUAUAUUAAAUAUAUAAUACAUAUAAAUAAUGCACAUGUAUACAUAUAAUAUAUACUAUACAUACAAUAUUUACUAUACACAUGAUAUAUACAUUAUAUAUAAUGUGUGUAAUAUAUAAAAAUGUAUGUAAGAGUAUAUAAUUAUAUAAAAUGUAUUUAUAUAAUAGAAACGUGCAUCAUGUUUACCAUGCUCGGUUAUCAUCAAAACAAUAAAUUUGGAUUGCCUUUACUGCU